AGCAAUUCAUUGCAUCAAUUCCAAAUAAUCCCAAAAUCCACAGCGAAAUCCCAAUUUUGUUCUUCACAUAAUCUCCCAAUCCACCGCGCCUCCAAAAUCUGUCUCGAAAUCGAGCUGAAAUCGACCAAUUCGGCUGCCGGAAAAGUUCAAUUAUUUAUGAUCGGCGACGAUGUAUAGCAAUUUCAAGGAGCAAGCGAUCGAGUAUGUCCGGCAAGCCGUCGCCGAGGAUAACGCCGGAAACUACGCCAAGGCUUUCCCUCUUUACAUGAACGCGCUCGAGUAUUUUAAGACGCACCUCAAGUACGAGAAGAACCCUAAGAUUAAGGAGGCGAUCACGCAGAAGUUCACCGAGUACCUGCGUCGGGCGGAGGAGAUCCGCGCCGUGCUCGACGAGGGGGGGUCGGGCCCCGCCGCGAAUGGGGAUGCGGCGGUGGCGACGCGCCCGAAGACCAAGCCGAAGGAUGGGAAGGACGGUGAGGGGGAGGAUGGCGAUAAGGAGAAGCUUCGGGCCGGGCUCAACUCGGCGAUUGUUAGGGAGAAGCCCAAUGUUAAGUGGAAUGACGUGGCUGGAUUGGAGAGCGCGAAGCAGGCACUGCAGGAGGCUGUGAUUCUCCCCGUGAAGUUCCCGCAGUUCUUUACUGGUAAGAGGCGUCCCUGGAGGGCUUUUCUUUUGUAUGGUCCUCCUGGAACGGGAAAGUCAUACUUGGCCAAGGCUGUUGCCACUGAAGCUGACUCAACAUUUUUCAGUGUCUCUUCAUCAGACUUGGUUUCAAAAUGGAUGGGUGAAAGUGAAAAGCUAGUCUCUAAUCUCUUUCAAAUGGCACGUGAAAGUUCUCCCUCAAUCAUAUUUGUUGAUGAAAUAGAUUCCCUCUGUGGACAGCGUGGGGAAGGGAAUGAAAGUGAAGCAUCUAGACGAAUCAAAACAGAAUUGCUUGUGCAGAUGCAGGGGGUGGGACACAAUGAUGACAAAGUUCUUGUUCUUGCUGCCACUAAUACUCCUUAUGCUCUUGAUCAGGCUAUAAGGCGGCGGUUUGACAAGCGCAUUUAUAUCCCUCUACCAGAUGUGAAGGCACGGCAGCACAUGUUCAAGGUGCAUUUAGGAGAUACUCCUCAUAACUUGACUGAAAGCGACUUUGAAAGCCUAGCUCGUAAAACAGAAGGUUUUUCUGGUUCAGAUAUUUCUGUUUGUGUUAAAGACGUCCUUUUUGAGCCUGUACGGAAAACACAAGAUGCAAUGUUCUUCAUCAAGACACCCAGUGGCUCAUGGGUGCCAUGUGGACCCAAGCAACCUGGUGCCGUCCAGAUAACCAUGCAGGAGCUUGCUGCAAAAGGACUUGCUGCACAGAUCAACCCACCUCCUAUAUCAAAAACAGACUUUGACAAGGUGCUCGCGAGGCAACGACCAACUGUAAGCAAAUCUGAUCUCGAUGUGCAUGAGAGAUUCACAAAGGAAUUUGGCGAGGAAGGCUGAGUGACGAACAUGAGGUGCUUUAGCCUGCUAAGACAUGUACUCGGUGACUUUUGUAUAUCAUGUUUUUUCUACUGCAUUCAGAUAUUAGCUUCGUCAAAUGGGAAGGAGUGAACGAGUCCUCUUUUUUCGCAUGUGUCUAUAGAAUUCAAUGGUGACGAGGCACUACCCUCGCGCUCGGAUGAGCAAGCUGCAGGCGACAUUUACUCCUCCUGGUACAGUCAAAUGCGAAGGCGGGAGACUGCUGUUCUGCCAUUUUUCAUGUAUUCAGAUCAACAGUUGCUGAUGAUGGUAGAGGAGUGGCUGCUAUAAGAAAUUCAAAGAAAUAAUACUCUCUCUGUCCAUGAAAAAUAGUAAUUUUUUUCAUUUUAAUUUUUGGCCCUCCACGUAAAUUUGUCUCUUGUUUUAAUCUAUGAAAACUUUCUCACUA